rnacentral:lncRNA from 1 species
AGCAACAUCACGUUCAUGUAGAGGCACUAGUUGGCAUGUAAUGUCCAUUCUUUGGAGUUCUAUUUUUAACUCUGGCAGCCACUCACUUAUUCAGCCAUUCAUCUGCACGUCUGUGCUUCUUUGUACAAGUCUGCCAUGGCGAUGCCCACUACCCUCAAGGUCUUAACUAUCUUGUAUGUGCUUGUACUUCUUGUUGCAUAUCAGGUUGAAGGGCGAAAUCAUCGGCCUGAUUGUCCUACUUUCUCAUGCGGCCCACUUGGAUACGUAUCAUCCCCAUUUCGUCAGGCAAGUGAUCCACCUGGGUGUGGUCAUCAAUCGUACGAGCUAGUUUGCAGUGAUACUAAGGCUACAAUUCACAUCGACAAUGCAACAUACUAUGUGUCUGGGAUCAACUACAGUGAUUCUACCUUCUGGAUCGUCGAUGCCGACAUAGAUUUAUACAACAGCUGCCCUCUACCGCGGUGGAAUUAUGAUCAGCAUCCAGCUGCUGGUUUCACGCUGAGAAACCGGCAACACGACACUCAUCACGCCAUCAAAGUUGAAUUGGCACCUGCAGCAUAUAAUCAGGCUAUAUUUGUUAAUUGUUCUCGGGAAGUGAAGGACAACGGUAUGUACAGGCCUGUUGCUUGCUUGAGCACCAGCCAUUCUUUUGUUUAUGUGUUAAUAACUGGUGGCCUAGGGAGAGGGAGUACUAUGGCGAACCUUGAGCCUUGUUGCGGUUAUUUGGCCAUGACUCCAUUAGGUGGCCAGGAAAUUGGCAUGAAGGGCACUGCACCGCUUGAGAAUGCAAGCUAUGCAGAUGUCGUAAAAUUCAUGACACACGGCUUCCGCGUUAAAUUUCCUUUCAGACUUCGCCAAUCUGGAGACUUCUUGGGAUGUCUGAUGGAUGAUUUGGCGCCGUGAGUUUGAGAUCUUGAUACCUCGUACUUGUAAGCUCUGCUUUUGUUUUUGCACAUGCACACCUGAUCAUUCUACAUUUUCGGUUUUUUUUUUGCAGCACAUUCACUAAAGAUUGGAUUCUAACAAUUCUUUCGAUUGAUGUAAGUUUCAUGGGUUGCGCAGCUAAAGCAGUUCCAGAACCAUUUGAUAUUUGCUUGUAUAUAAUUAUGGCGUCAUUAGCAUAUGCCAGGCUUAUUGCUGGUACGUGAGAAUUACAUAUUCCAGUAUGGUUUACUGCCUGUGUCUAUAAAUCAGAUCACAAAUAAACCUGUUUUGUUUUAUGCAGUGUUCUGGAGGUUUGUAUUGGUGCCCCUGGUCGUAUUAAUCUUCCUUGCCCACAAGUAUUGGAAAACAAGGAUCACGAUGGAUGCUGUUGAGAAGUUCCUCCAGAUGCAGCAAAUGAUCGGCCCGUCAAGGUACGCCUAUACAGACAUCACCGCAGUCACCAGCCAUUUCAUAGAUAAGCUGGGUCAGGGAGGCUAUGGCUCCGUGUACAAGGGUGUGCUGCUCCCAGGCAAUGUCCAUGUCGGGGUCAAGAUGCUAGAGGGUAACUCCAACUGCAAUGGAGAAGAUUUCAUUAGUGAGGUUUCAACCAUUGGCAGGAUCCACCAUGUCAAUGUGGUGCGUUUAGUUGGCUUCUGCUCGGAGGAAAUGAGAAGGGCGCUUGUCUACGAGUACAUGCCUCGAGGUUCUCUGGACAAAUACAUCUUCUCGGCUGAGAAGACUUUCUCCUGGGACAAGCUCAACGAGAUCGCUUUGGGCAUUGCGAGGGGUAUCGACUACCUGCACCAGGGUUGCGAGAUGCAGAUUCUCCACUUUGACAUCAAGCCGCACAACAUCUUGCUAGACAGCAAUUUCAUCCCUAAAGUUGCUGAUUUCGGUCUCGCUAAACUAUACCCAAGGGACAAAAGUUUUGUGCCAUCGAGAGCCCUACGGGGAACAAUUGGGUACAUAGCUCCUGAGAUGAUAUCUCGUAGCUUUGGUGUCAUAUCGAGCAAGUCUGAUGUUUAUAGCUUUGGGAUGCUCCUGCUAGAGAUGGCCGGAGGAAGAAGGAAUGCUGAUCCAAAUGCGGCAAACACGAGCCAAGCGUACUAUCCGUCGUGGGUGUAUGACAAACUAACUGCUCCAGUGGUGGAUGCGAUAUGUCCAGUUGCUAGCAUGCAUGAAUUAGAGAGGAAGCUGUGCAUCGUUGGAUUAUGGUGCAUUCAGAUGAAGUCACAUGACAGGCCAACGAUGAGCGAGGUCAUAGACAUGUUGGAAGGUGGCUUUGAUGGCCUGCAGAUGCCUUCCAGGCCAUUCUUCUGCGACGACGAUCACACCGCUGUCCCGGAUUCUUACCCUUUGUUGUCCGAGCUGACAGAGAUCUCAGAGGAGGANNNNNNNNNNNNNNNNNNNNNNNNNNNNNNNNNNNNNNNNNNNNNNNNNNNNNNNNNNNNNNNNNNNNNNNNNNNNNNNNNNNNNNNNNNNNNNNNNNNNGUGUCAGUAACUUAUCAAUUACACUUAUAAGUGAAUGGACACAACAGAGUAAAGACCCUCACCUGAAGUUGUAUGGAAACAGUAUGUGGUCACAGAAAUUUUGAUCUAUUAGAAACCUUAGAAGGUUUUCCUCCGUCUCCUUGGGUUUAUCAGUUAGCGUCGCUAUAUGUAUUUUAUCUGGGUCAAUAAACCCAAUAUUUAGGAUGGUCUUACUUUUACAAUCCAGAAUCUCCAUUCUGCAUAAUAGAAUACAAGUUAUAUAUAGACAAUGAAUUGAAAUAACUAAACAAGUUAUAUGUAGACGACGAAUUGAAAAACUUACACACAAUAGCAACUCAUAAGCGAUUUGUCGAGGGCGUCGCCAUUGUACAUCUGGAAGAGUUCAUCAAAGUUGAUAUGGAUUUCUUCGGAGCGGCCGUAGUACUCCCGUGGGACACUCAGCACGAUCAUCGUUCUCCCAUUCUUUGAUUCACUUAAGUACCAUUUAUGCAAGUAACGCAUAUUUGUUGGGAGAUUAUCUUUGCUGACCAAAGGCUCUCCCAUGACAAACUAUGGCUUAGGGGCUACCACAGCCUUGGGUAUCCUGUCGUCUUGGGAAGCCAGCAAAUCUUCAACUGAGAUACCACAUUCAGCCGCCAACUCCUUUGCUCUUUCAAAAGCUUGCCCCUGCACCGGAGGGGGAACAUUCUCGGUUAACACCUUGAGGGGUGGGAUCGACUGUUUGGCCUGUUGUCCAAGCUGAGGAACGUCUGAUUUUUUCUUGCUUGUAGUUGAACUUGAUUUGCUCCCACUUGCACUUGCACGUGAGCUGCUCUUUUUCACUUCCUUCUGCAAUGUGCGUGUAUAGUCAUCAGGCUUAUAGUGUAAGUCAUACUGUGAUGGAAGGGUUAUGAAGUCUUUUGCCCAUGCUAUUUGUUUCUCGGUGUAUUCCGGGCGGGGCUCGGGUUCCUUCUUUUUCAUCUGCGCAUCAUGUUGUUCCUUUGCUAUCCUGGCGUUUUCCUCGGGGGUACGAUCAUAAGGUUUGAUAGGAAGAUUAGCAUGAGGUACCUUUGGGAGUGGCGACAGUUUGCGCUUUGGGGAGCUCCGUCGCUUAAAAAUCAUCGACGGAGCGUUCUUGCUGGCACACUUCCGCUUAGUAUCCUGUGCGGGCGGCGGCGGAGACGGACGACCCAAGUCCGGCGGCGGUGAUCGAGAUGGACUCGUGUUGUGCUGGCCGACGUCAUGUGGAGGGCUUGGAGGUAAUGGAGGUGUAGGUGACCUGCGACGACUCGGAGGCGGUGUUGUCCUUGGGGUCGAGCCUGGAAGCUUGAUGUAGUUCUUGUGCAUCGUCGGGCGGGGCCUCAGAUUCAGCCACGCCGCUUUUCCCUUAGAUGGGGCGCUGGUAAUAUCAAGUGCAGGAUCUUCCUGGCGCGGUACUCCUCUAAGCUCAUCAAUCUGCUUUUGUUGCUCGUUAAUCCUGGCAAGCAACUGGUUGAACUUGUCAUUCUCCUCAUCCUGCUGCCGCUUCUUUGCUCUCUCUCGGCUUCUGUAAGUGUCUUGGUCUCUGGCAAACCCAAGCCACCACGGGUAAGAAGGACCGAAGUCUCGCGUUCGUCCUCCAUGUUCGUCAUUGCCGAGGACCAGUGUGAGCAAAUAUUUAUCUCUAUCUGCAGUGAACUUUCUUUUUCCCUCCUUAAUUUCUUUCACUAUCCUUUUCCAAUUCUCCCUGGGUAUCCUAAGACCGUCAUUGCAGAUGAGCUCCCCUGUUUUUUCGUCGUACGACCCACCAUGCGCAAGGAAUCAAUUUCUUGCUCUUAAUUCCCACUCAUCACGGAGUGGUUCAGGUAAGAUGCCUUUAUCUAGCAGAUCUUGCUCUUUCUUAUCCCACUUUGGGAUGGCAGUCUCAUAGCCCCCUGGCCCCAGCUUGUGGUGAUAUUUCUUCUUGUCGGCAUUUAUCUUGUUCUUUUCUGAUAAUGUCUGGGCAUCUUCUGACUCCUUGUACUCUUGAAAUGCCUUCCAGUGAUUCGCCUGCUUGGCUAGAUACCCCUCGAAUACUGGCACUUUCUUUGUCUUCAGAUAGUUUUCCAUAGCUUCUUCUUCCAGCUACGGAACAGUUCGGCCAUCUUCUUCAGAGUCCAUUGCUUGACUUUGGCCCUCAGUUUGUCUGCGGCGUCUUCAUUCUCACAUUCUGGCAGGUUGAAAUGUGACAUGAGAUCAUUCCAAAGAUUAUCUUUGUACCUUUCGGCGACAUAGUCACUAUCGGCUGCCCUUUUGCGCUUGUUCCACUCCCGAACGCUGAUCGGGACGUGAUCCCUAACGAGAACUCCGCAUUGCUUCUUGAAUGUGUCAGCAACAUUCUUAGGAAGCUUGGGUUCGCCCGUAGGAAAUAUCACCUCAAAGGUGUAAUGCGUCCGUGCAUCCAACUUUCUAGUCGGGCCUCGUUUCGUAGUUUUGCUCGAUGUGGAGGCCUAAGAGGGAGAAACAUUCAUCAAAUGAAUGUAUAUGUAUACAAUAUAGAGCUAUCUCCAAUAUUUUUCACAUAUUACAAGUGAUUGUCGAACUUCAUAUGUAUCCCUCGCCGGACUUUAUUAUUUCUUCACCGGCUUCUCCAUCAGUGGAGCUAUCACCUUCUCCGUCAUUGGACCUAUCUCCUGCCCCAUCGGCUUCAUCUUCGUGUCGCUCGACCUCCAUUCCAACGUCCUGCUUUAGAUAUGACGACGGAGAUUCAGCUGGUUCAACGUCGGGGCCGUCUUUGAUUAUAUCUUCGAGAAGUUCUUCCUCUUCGAGGUUUUUGAUAUGUGGAUCCAUAGUUCUGCAAAAAACGGAUUCUCUUAACCUUUGUACCAAAAAAGAAUUAUUCUAUCAGGAACUCCGUUCGAAAACAACUUAAGUCCCGGGUCGUGGCUCCACCCGGGACUCCUAGAUUUUUGCAUAGUAUUCAAAGUAGGAGUACUUUUCCAAUUUGAGCAUUCAAUAAGCAAAACCAAAUCGUAAAAUAAAGUAGUAUUCAAAUUAGCAUGCAUUCAAUUAUAAGCUAAUACAUCAUCACUUUUGUCCGUACACCGUCGAAUAUUAUCACUAAUACUCCUCGAAUACUAUCAUACAUAUAGCAUCACUGAUACAUCUAGAACCGUAGCGCCCGACGUGUAUCGGCGCGGGCGGUGGACACCCAAAGAGAAGGAACCAUCACAGGAUCAUAGCUCCAGUGAGAUCCCCGAAGAACCUGCCAGGUAUGCUCGAACCUGCCCUCCAAUGCAACCAUGUAGCGACGGACGUGCUCAUCCUCCUCGCUGACACGGUGACGUACCACCUCCGCGGUGUCCGGAAGCCUCGGCACCCUCACUGGCCCACGCGACCGCCACCAAACAAGGAUCGUGUCAACGACGGGCUGGCUCCUCACCAACCUACGCCCCCCGGAAGGUAGCACCUUCCAAUACCAGCCGGGCGGAGCCCAGUCCCAGACAGGGCCCCUCUGAUCAAGCAGGUGUCCUCCGCCGAGUCGACGACGAGGAUGCGGGAUGCAUCGUAAAAUGAACUAAAAAAAUAAACUAGUUCUAUUAAUUUUCUUGCUAAAAAUAAACUAUUAACACUUAAGCAUAUACAAUAGCAAAAUUAAACUAUUAACACUUAAGCAUAUACAAUAGCAAAAUUAAGCAAUAAUCUAAGAAACACUAUUAACACUUAAGCAUAUACACUAUACAAUAGCAAAAUUAAGCAUAUACACUAUACAAUAGCAAAACUAAAUGACACUAUACAAUAUGUCUCCUCUUCUUCUACUUCUUCUUCUACUUCUACUUCUCCUCUUCUUGUAGUACUUCUCCUCUUCUCUUCUUCUACUUCUCCUCUCCUCCUCUUCUAAUUUUUUCUCUUCUUCUACUUCUCCUCUUCUUCUAUUUUUCCUCUUCUUCUCCUCUCCUCCUCUUCUUAUUCUCCUUUUUCUUCUUUUCUUCUCCUCCUCUUCUUAUUUUCAUUUUUCCUAAUCUUAUUUUCUUAUUUUUAUUCAUAUUUCUUCUUCUUGUAACCCUAACCUAAUUCUAAAUAUUACUAACCCUAAUAAUCUAGCACAAACCUAAUAACAAUUGGAAUUAAAUGACAUUUUUUUUCUUUUUCUUCCUUUCUUCUCCUUUUUCUUCCUUUCUUCUCCUUUUUCUUCCUUUCUUCCCUUUUUCUUUUUUUCUUCUCAUUUUUCUUAUUUUCUUCUCCUUUUUCUUCUUUUCUUCUCCUUUUUCUUCUUUUCUUCUUCUAUUUUUCCUCUUCUUGUCCUCUCCUCCUCUUCUUUUCUUCUCCUUUUUCUUAUUUUCUUCUCCUUUUCCUUCUUUUCUUCUACUGGCCGGAGUGUUGGGGAGGAGGGGGCGGGGGGCUUACCGGCCGGAGGUGUCGACGGCGCGCGGCGAGGAGGACGGCGCGCGCGAGGACGACGGCGGCGGCGAGGAGGACGGCAGGCGGCGGCGAGCAGGACGUCGGGCAGCCUGACGGCGUCGUCGAGUUCGUCGCUGUGCCGCACCGGGCAGGAGAACGAGAGGAAGAAGAAGAGAAAUGGACGAUUUGGGUUGGAAUUUUUCGAAGUCCCGCUUAUAUAGGUGGAUCUUUAGUCCCGGUGCGUGGCUCAAACCGGGACUAAAGACACCCUUUAGUCCCGGGUGGAGCCACGGCCCGGGACUAAAGCCCCUCGUUUCCCGCCUCCUCGCCUGCCGAAAAGGGGUCUUUAGUCCCGGGGCGUGGCUCCAACGGGGACUAAAGGGGGUCUUUAGUCCCGGGGCGUGGCUCCACCCGGGACUAAAGCCCCUCCUCGGCUGCACGAUAAGUUUAGUCCCACCUCGCCCAGCGAGGGGGACUAACACUUGUUUAUAAGCCCCGUCGUAGCUUCUCCAUCGAGCUCCUCUCUAAAGCAGGCUUACGGGCCUAAACUCACUGAAAAUUGAAACUAUAUUAGAAAUUAUAGAGAAAAUUCAAUCUAAAUUCAAAUGAGAAUUUAGAUUGAAUUUUCUCNNNNNNNNNNNNNNNNNNNNNNNNNNNNNNNNNNNNNNNNNNNNNNNNNNNNNNNNNNNNNNNNNNNNNNNNNNNNNNNNNNNNNNNNNNNNNNNNNNNNGUUCUUCUUCUCCUCUUCCGUCUCCUUCUCCUCCUCCUCCUACUCCUCCUUCUUUUACUUCUUCUUCUCUUUCUCUUAUUCUACAUAGCUUAAUUAGACUCAUCCAACAAAGCCUAAAUUGGCUAAUUAUCCAUCUAAAUGACAUAAGUAGCUUAGUUAGCUCCUAAAUGGUCUAUUUAAUAAAAAUGACCUAUACUUAGCUAAUUAUCCUCGAAAUGACAGAAUUAGCUCCAAAAAGGCAUUCUUAGCCAAUUUAGCCCCGAAGAAGGAGACGAGAGGAGAAGAAAGAGGAAAAAUGAAAGGAAGGAAGAAGAAGAAGCGGAGAAGAAGGAGAAGGAGAGGGAGGAGGAUAAGAAGAAGGAGGAGAAGGAGGAGAAGAAGGAGAAGAAGCUCCUCCUUCUCCUUCUUCCUCCUUCUUCCUCCUUCUCCUUCUCCUUCUUCUUUUGUUCUUCUUCUCCUCUUCCGUCUCCUUCUCCUCCUCCUCCUACUCCUCCUUCUUUACUUCUUCUUCUCUUCUCUUAUUCUACAUAGCUUAAUUAGACUACAUACCAACAAAGCCUAAAUUGGACUAAUUAUCCAUCUAAAUGACAUAAGUAGCUUAGUUAGCUNNNNNNNNNNNNNNNNNNNNNNNNNNNNNNNNNNNNNNNNNNNNNNNNNNNNNNNNNNNNNNNNNNNNNNNNNNNNNNNNNNNNNNNNNNNNNNNNNNNNCUACGUAGCUUAAUUAGACUCAUCCAACAAAGCCUAAAUUGGCUAAUUAUCCAUCUAAAUGACAUAAUUAGCUUAGUUAGCUCCUAAAUGGUCUAUUUAAUAAAAAAUGACCUAUACUUAGCUAAUUAUCCUCGAAAUGAUAUAAUUAGCUCCAAAAAGGCAUUCCUAGCCAAUUUAGCCCGAAGAAGGAGACGAGAGGAGAAGAAAGAGGAAAAAUGAAAGGAAGGAAGAAGAAGAAGAGGAGAAGAAGAAGAAGGAGAGGGAGCAGGAUAAGAAGAAGGAGGAGGAGAAGGAGGAGCUACCUUCUCCUUCUUCCUCCUUCUUCCUCCUUCUCCUUCUCCUUCUUCUUUUCUUCUUCUUCUCCUCUUCCGUCUCCUUCUCCUCCUCCUUCUUUUACUUCUUCUUCUCUUUCUCUUAUUCUACGUAGCUUAAUUAGACUCAUCCAACAAAGCCUAAAUUGGAUAAUUAUCCAUCUGAAUGACAUAAUUAGCUUAGUUAGCUCCUAAAUGGUCUAUUUAAUAAAAAUGACCUAUACUUAGCUAAUUAUCCUCGAAAUGAGAGAAUUAGCUUCAAAAANNNNNNNNNNNNNNNNNNNNNNNNNNNNNNNNNNNNNNNNNNNNNNNNNNNNNNNNNNNNNNNNNNNNNNNNNNNNNNNNNNNNNNNNNNNNNNNNNNNNAGUUGCGGGAUCUUGUAUUACGGAACGAGUAAAGAGACUUGCCGGUAAACGAGAUUGAAAUAGGUAUGCGGAUACUGACGAUCGAAUCUCGGGCAAGUAACAUACCGAAGGACAAAGGGAAUGACAUACGGGAUUAUAUGAAUCCUUGGCACUGAGGUUCAAACGAUAAGAUCUUCGUAGAAUAUGUAGGAUCCAAUAUGGGCAUCCAGGUCCCGCUAUUGGAUAUUGACCGAGGAGUCUCUCGGGUCAUGUCUACAUAGUUCUCGAACCCGCAGGGUCUGCACACUUAAGGUUCGACGUUGUUUUAUGCGUAUUUGAGUUAUAUGGUUGGUUACCGAAUGUUGUUCGGAGUCCCGGAUGAGAUCACGGACGUCACGAGGGUUUCCGGAAUGGUCCGGAAACGAAGAUUGAUAUAUAGGAUGACCUCAUUUGAUUACCGGAAGGUUUUCGGAGUUACCGGGAAUGUACCGGGAAUGACGAAUGGUUCCGGGGGUUCACCGGGGGGGGGGGGUCAACCCACCCCGGGGAAGCCCAUAGGCCUUGGGGAGACACACCAGCUUUUAGUGGGCUGGCGGGACAGCCCACAAGUGGUCUAUGCGCCAAGAAAACAAAAAUCAAGAGGAAAAGAAAAAAAAGGAGGAGGUGGGAAGGGAGGAGGACUCCCUCCCACCAAACCUAGUCCAACUCGGUUUGGGGGGGGGGGGAGAGUCCUGCCCCUUGGCUCGGCCGACCCCCUUGAGGGUCCUUGGACCCCAAGGCAAGGCCCCCUCCCUCCCACCUAUAUAUACGGAGGUUUUAGGGCUGAUUUGAGAUGACUUUUCCACGGCAGCCCGACGACAUACCUCCACGGUUUUUCCUCUAGAUCGCGUUUCUGCGGAGCUCGGGCGGAGCCCUGCUGAGACAAGGUCAUCACCAACCUCCGAAGCGCCGUCACGCUGCCGGAGAACUCUUCUACCUCUCCGUCUCUCUUGCUGGAUCAAGAAGGCCGAGAUCAUCGUCGAGCUGUACGUGUGCUGAACGCGGAGGUGCCGUCCAUUCGGUACUAGAUCGUGGGACUGAUCGCGGGAUUGUUCGCGGGGUGGAUCGAGGGACGUGAGGACGUUCCACUACAUCAACCGUGUUCUCUAACGCUUCUGCUGUACGGUCUACAAGGGUACAUAGAUCACUCAUCCCCUCUCGUAGAUGGACAUCACCAUGAUAGGUCUUCGUGCGAGUAGGAAAAUUUUUGUUUCCCAUGCGACGUUCCCCAACAGUGGCAUCAUGAGCUAGGUUCAUGCGUAGAUGUCUUCUCGAGUAGAACACAAAAGUUUUUGUGGGCGGUGAUGUGCGUUUUGCUGCCCUCCUUAGUCUUUUCUUGAUUCCGUGGUAUUGUUGGAUUGAAGCGGCUUGGACCGAUAUUACUCGUACGCUUACGAGAGACUGGUUUCAUCGUUACGAGUAACCCCCUUUGCUCAAAGAUGAAUGGAAAGUGUCGGUUUCUCCAACUUUAGUUGAAUCGGAUUUGACCGAGGAGGUCCUUGGAUGAGGUUAAAUAGCAACUCAUAUAUCUCCGUUGUGGUGUUUGCGUAAGUAGGAUGCGAUCCUACUAGAUACCCUUGGUCACCACGUAAAACAUGCAACAACAAAAUUAGAGGACGUCUAACUUGUUUUUGCAGGGUAUGAUUGUGAUGUGAUAUGGCCAACGAUGUGAUGUGAUAUAUUGGAUGUAUGAGAUGAUCAUGUUGUAAUAGAAAUAUCGACUUGCACGUCGAUGGUACGGCAACCGGCAGGAGCCAUAGGGUUGUCUUUAUACUAACGUUUGUGCUUGCAGAUGCGUUUACUAUUUUGCUAGGAUGUAGCUUUAGUAGUAAUAGCAUAAGUAGCACGACAACCCCGAUGGCAACACGUUGAUGGAUGAUCAUGGUGUGGCGCCGGUGACAAGAAGAUCGUGCUGGUGCUUUGGUGAUGGAGAUCAAAAAGCACGUGAUGAUGGCCAUAUCAUGUCACUUAUGAAUUGCAUGUGAUGUUAAUCCUUUUAUGCACCUUAUUUUGCUUAGAACGACGGUAGCAUUAUGAGAUGAUCUCUCACUAAAAUUUCAAGAGGAAAUUGUGUUCUCCCCGACUGUGCACCGUUGCUACAGUUCGUCGUUUCGAGACACCACGUGAUGAUCGGGUGUGAUAGACUCAACGUUCACAUACAACGGGUGCAAAACAGUUGCGCACGCGGAACACUCGGGUUAAGCUUGACGAGCCUAGCAUGUGCAGACAUGGCCUCGGAACACAUGAGACCGAAAGGUCGAUCAUGAAUCAUAUAGUUGAUAUGAUUAGCAUAGGGAUGCUUACCACUGAAACUAUACUCAACUCACGUGAUGAUCGGACUUGGGAUAGUGUAAGUGGAUCAUGAACCACUCAAAUGACUAGAGAGAUGUACUUUUUGAGUGGGAGUUUAGCAUGUAAUUUGAUUAAGUUGAACUCUAAUUAUCUUGAACAUAGUCUAAGUCCACUUUGAAAAUAUUUGUGUUGUAGAUCAUGGCUCACGCGACAGUCAUCCUGAAUUUUAAUACGUUCCUAGAGAAAGCUAAGUUGAAAGAUGAUGGAAGCAACUUUGUAGACUGGGCUCGUAAUCUUAAGCUAAUCUUACAAGCUGGGAAGAAGGAUUAUGUCCUUAAUGCUGCGCUAGGAGAUGAACCACCCGCUACGGCUGAUCAGGAUGUUAAGAACGCUUGGUUAGCACGUAAGGAGGACUACUCAAUAGUUCAAUGUGCAGUCUUGUAUGGCUUAGAACCGAGACUUCAACGUCGCUUUGAGCGUCAUGGAGCAUUUGAGAUGUUCCAAGAGUUGGAGUUUAUCUUUCAGAAGAACGCCCGGAUCGAGAGGUAUGAGACCUCCGAUAAAUUCUAUGCUUGCAAGAUGGAGGAAAACUCGUCUGUCAGUGAACAUGUGCUCAAAAUGUCUGGGUACUCAAACCGUCUAGCUGAGCUGGGGAUUGAACUCCCGCAAGAAGCUAUCACUGACAGAAUCCUUCAAUCACUGCCGCCAAGCUAUAAAGGGUUUGUGUUGAACUACAACAUGCAAGGGAUGAACAAGUCUCCCGGCGAGUUGUUUGCGAUGCUGAAAGUCGCAGAGUCUGAACUCCGUAAAGAGCAUCAAGUGUUGAUGGUGAGCAAGACCACUAGUUUCAAGAGAAAUGGCAAAGGCAAGAAGGGCAAUUCGAAGAAGAGCGGCAAGCCCGUUGCCAAUCCGCCGAAGAAACCCAAGGCUGGACCUAAGCCUGAAACAGAGUGCUUCUAUUGCAAGGGUAUGGGUCACUGGAAGCGCAAUUGCCCCAAGUAUCUGGCAGAUAAGAAGGCGGGCAAAGAAAAAUCAGGUAUAUUUGAUAUACAUGUUAUUGAUGUGUACUUAACCGGCUCUCGUAGUAGUGCCUGGGUAUUUGAUACCGGUUCUGUUGCUCAUAUUUGCAACUCGAAACAGGAACUGCGGAAUAGGCGAAGGCUGGCGAAAGAUGAAGUGACGAUGCGCGUAGGAAAUGAUUCCAAGGUUGAUGCAAUCGCCGUCGGCACAGUGUCACUUCAGCUUCCAUCGGGAUUAGUGAUGAACUUAAAUCAUUGUUAUUUAGUGCCUGCGUUGAGCAUGAACAUUAUAUCUGGAUCUUGUUUAUUGCGAGACGGAUACUCUUUUAAGUCUGAGAAUAAUGGUUGUUCUAUUUCUAUGAGUAACAUCUUUUAUGGUCAUGCACCGAAUGUGAGAGGAUUGUUGAUAUUGAAUCUUGAUAGCGAUACACAUAUACAUAGCAUUGGGACCAAAAGAGUUAGAGUUAACAAUGAUAGCGCCAUAUUUUUGUGGCACUGCCGCUUAGGUCAUAUUGGUGUAAAGCGCAUGAAGAAACUCCAUGCUGAUGGACUUUUGGAGUCACUUGACUUUGAUUCACUUGACACGUGCGAACCAUGCCUCAUGGGCAAGAUGACUAAGACUCCGUUCUCCGGAACAAUGGAGCGUGCAAGUGACUUGUUGGAAAUCAUACAUACCGAUGUGUGUGGUCCGAUGAGCGUGGAGGCACGCGGCGGAUAUCGUUAUUUUCUCACCUUCACUGACGAUUUGAGUAGAUAUGGUUAUGUCUACUUGAUGAAGCACAAGUCUGAAACAUUUGAAAGGUUCAAGCAAUUUCAGAGUGAAGUUGAAAAUCAUCGUAACAAGAAGAUCAAGUUCCUACGGUCUGAUCGUGGGGGUGACUAUCUGAGUUUCGAGUUUGGUGCUCACUUAAGACAAUGUGGAAUUGUUUCACAGUUAACACCGCCUGGAACACCACAGCGUAAUGGUGUGUCCGAACGUCGUAAUCGUACUUUAUUAGAGAUGGUGCGAUCUAUGAUGUCUCUUACCGAUUUGCCGUUAUCGUUUUGGGGUUAUGCAUUAGAAACAGCUGCAUUCACUUUAAAUAGGGCACCAUCAAAAUCCGUUGAGACGACACCAUACGAACUGUGGUAUGGCAAAAGGCCAAAGUUGUCGUUUCUUAAAGUUUGGGGAUGUGAUGCUUAUGUCAAAAAGCUUCAGCCUGAAAAGCUGGAACCCAAAGCGGAAAAGUGCGUCUUCAUAGGUUACCCAAAAGAGACAGUUGGGUACACCUUCUAUCUCAAAUCCGAGGGCAAAGUGUUUGUUGCUAAAAACGGAGCUUUUCUCGAGAAGGAGUUUCUCUCGAGAGAAUUGAGUGGGAGGAAGAUAGAACUUGACGAGGUUGUCGAACCUCUCAUCCCUCUGGAUGGUGGCGCAGGGCAAGGGGAAACCUCUGUCGUUGCGACGCCGGUUGAAGAGGAAGUUAAUGAUGAUGAUCAUGAAACUCCGGUUCAAGUUUCUGUCAAACCACGCAGGUCGACGAGACCACGUGCUGCUCCAGAGUGGUACGGUAAUCCUGUCUUAUCAAUCAUGUUGUUAGACAACAAUGAACCUGCAAAUUAUGAAGAAGCAAUGGUGGGCCCAGAUUCCAACAAAUGGCUAGAAGCCAUGAAGUCCGAGAUAGGAUCCAUGUAUGAGAACAAAGUGUGGACUUUGGAGGUACUACCUGAGGGCCGCAAGGCUAUUCAGAACAAAUGGAUUUUUAAGAGGAAGACGGACGCUGACGGCAAUGUGACCGUUUAUAAAGCUCGACUUGUGGCAAAGGGUUUUUCACAAGUUCAAGGAGUUGACUACGAUGAGACAUUCUCACCCGUAGCGAUGCUUAAGUCCGUCAGAAUCAUGUUAGCAAUAGCUGCAUUUUUCGAUUAUGAAAUCUGGCAGAUGGAUGUCAAAACGGCGUUCCUUAACGGUUUCCUUAAGGAAGAGUUGUAUAUGAUACAACCCGAAGGUUUUGUCGAUCAUAAGAAUGCUAACAAGGUGUGCAAGCUCCAGCGAUCCAUUUAUGGACUGGUGCAAGCAUCUCGGAGUUGGAACAAACGCUUUGAUGAGGUGAUCAAAGCAUUUGGGUUUAUACAAGUGGUUGGAGAAUCUUGUAUUUACAAGAAAGUGAGUGGGAGCUCUGUGGCGUUUCUAAUAUUAUAUGUGGAUGACAUAUUGCUGAUUGGAAACAACGUGGAGUUUUUAGAGAGCAUAAAGGAUUACUUGAAUAUGAGUUUCUCUAUGAAGGACCUAGGAGAAGCUGCUUACAUUCUAGGCAUUAAGAUCUAUAGGGAUAGAUCAAAACGCCUGAUAGGACUUUCACAAAGCACAUACCUUGAUAAAGUUUUGAAGAGGUUCAAAGUGGAACAGUCCAAGAAAGGGUUCUUGCCAGUUUUACAAGGUACGAGAUUGAGUAAGACUCAGUGCCCAGCAACUGAUGAAGAUAGAGAGCAUAUGCGCUCCGUCCCCUAUGCUUCAGCCAUAGGUUCUAUCAUGUAUGCAAUGUUGUGCACAAGACCGGAUGUUAGCCUGGCCAUAAGUAUGGCAGGUAGGUUCUAGAGUAAUCCAGGAGUGGAUCACUGGACAGCGGUCAAGAAUAUCCUGAAGUACCUGAAAAGGACUAAGGAUAUGUUUCUCGUGUAUGGAGGUGACGAAGAGCUCGCCGUAAAAGGUUACGUCGAUGCAAGCUUUGACACAGAUCCGGACGACUCUAAGUCGCAAACCGGAUACGUAUUUAUUUUUAAUGGGGGUGCGGUAAGCUGGUGCAGUUCCAAGCAAAGCGUCGUAGCAGAUUCUACAUGUGAAGCGGAGUACAUGGCUGCCUCGGAGGCGGCUAAGGAGGGUGUCUGGAUGAAGCAGUUCAUGAGGAUCUUGGAGUGGUACCAAGCGCACUGAAUCCAAUAACCUUGUUCUGUGACAACACGGGUGCCAUUGCCUUAGCAAAGGAACCACGGUUUCACAAGAAGACCAGACACAUCAAACGACGCUUCAACCUCAUCCGCGACUACGUCGAGGGAGAAGACGUAAAUAUAUGCAAAGUGCACACGGAUCUGAAUGUAGCAGACCCGCUGACUAAACCUCUUCCACGGCCAAAGCAUGAUCAACACCAGAACUGUAUGGGUGUUAGAUUUAUUACAAUGUAAUUCACAUGAUGAUGUGAGGGCUAGAUUAUUGACUCUAGUGCAAGUGGGAGACUGUUGGAGUUAUGCCCUAGAGGCAAUAAUAAAUAUAGUUAUUAUUAUAAUUCCUGUAUCAAGAUAAUCGUUUAUUAUCCAUGCUAUAAUUGUAUUGAAUGAAGACUCAUUUACAUGUGUGGAUACAUAGACAAAACACCGUCCCUAGCAAGCCUCUAGUUGGCUAGCGAGUUGAUCAAAGAUAGUCAGUGUCUUCUGAUUAUGAACAAAGUGUUGUUGCUUGAUAACUGGAUCACGUCAUUAGGAGAAUCACGUGAUGGACUAGACCCAAACUAAUAGACGUAGCAUGUUGAUCGUGUCAUUUUGUUGCUACUGUUUUCUGCGUGUCAAGUAUUUAUUCCUAUGACCAUGAGAUCAUAUAACUCACUGACACCGGAGGAAUGCUUUGCGUGCAUCAAACGUCGCAACGUAACUGGGUGACUAUAAAGAUGCUCUACAGGUAUCUCCGAAGGUGUUCGUUGAGUUAGUAUGGAUCAAGACUGGGAUUUGUCACUCCGUGUGACGGAGAGGUAUCUCGGGGCCCACUCGGUAAUACAACAUCACACUCAAGCCUUGCAAGCAAUGUAACUUAGUGUAAGUUGGGGGAUCUUGUAUUGCGGAACGAGUAAAGAGACUUGCCGGUAAACGAGAUUGAAAUAGGUAUGCGGAUACUGACGAUCGAAUCUCGGGCAAGUAACAUACCGAAGGACAAAGGGAAUGACAUACGGGAUUAUAUGAAUCCUUGCCACUGAGGUUCAAACGAUAAGAUCUUCGUAGAAUAUGUAGGAUCCAAUAUGGGCAUCCAGGUCCCGCUAUUGGAUAUUGACCGAGGAGUCUCUCGGGUCAUGUCUACAUAGUUCUCGAACCCGCAGGGUCUGCACACUUAAGGUUCGACGUUGUUUUAUGCGUAUUUGAGUUAUAUGGUUGGUUACCGAAUGUUGUUCGGAGUCCCGGAUGAGAUCACGGACGUCACGAGGGUUUCCGAAAUGGUCCGGAAACGAAGAUUGAUAUAUAGGAUGACCUCAUUUGAUUACCGGAAGGUUUUCGGAGUUACCGGGAAUGUACCGGGAAUGACGAAUGGGUUCCGGGAGUUCACCGAGGGGGACAACCCACCCUGGGGAAGCCCAUAGACCUUGAGGGUGGCACACCAUCCCUUAGUGGGCUGGUGGGACAGCCCAAAAGGGCCCUAUGCGCCUAGGAAAGAAAAUCAAAGAGAAAAGAAAAGAAAAAAGGAGGUGGGAAGGGAAGGAAGGACUCCCACCCACCAAACCAAGUCCAACUCGGUUUGGGGGGGAGCCUUCCCCCUUGGACUCGGCCGACCCCCUUGGGGCUCCUUGAGCCCGAAGGCAAGGUCCCCUCCCUCCCACCUAUAUAUACGGAGGUUUUAGGGCUUAUUUGGGACGACUUUUCCACGGCAGCCCGACCACAUACCUCCACGGUUUUUCCUCUAGAUCGCGUUUCUGCAGAGCUCGGGCGGAGCCCUGCUGAGACAAGGUCAUCACCAACCUCCGGAGCGCCGUCACGCUGCCGGAGAACUCUUCUACCUCUCCGUCUCUCUUGCUGGAUCAAGAAGGCCGAGAUCAUCGUCGAGCUGUACGUGUGCUGAACGCGGAGGUGCCGUCCGUUCGGUACUAGAUCGUGGGACUGAUCGCGGGAUUGUUCGCGGGGCGGAUCGAGGGACGUGAGGACGUUCCACUACAUCAACCGCGUUCACUAACGCUUCUGCUGUACGAUCUACAAGGGUACGUAGAUCAGUCAUCCCCUCUCGUAGAUGGACAUCACCAUGAUAGGUCUUCGUGCGCGUAGGAAAAUUUUUGUUUCCCAUGCGACGUUCCCCAACAAUUUUAACAUCAAUUCACCGUAAUUUUACGUUUCAUAAUUUUUGUCUUAUUUUAUACGUAAAAAGAGACCAUAAAAUAAUAUAAUCAAUGUAAAAAAAAUUAUGUCACAUAAAACUACGUACAUACAAAACUAGUGCAAAAAAUACAAUAAAUUCAAUUUUUUCUGGUCUUGUGAUCUAUAUUUUUGUUUUCCUUUUAUCAAAUUUUACGUAGUGAUUCAAUAUAAAUGUAACUAUUUGUAUUUAAAAUUUAAUUUAUUUGUAAAUUGAUCGUAAGAUUAUCUCGGGUGAAGAAUAAACUAUUCUGCGUCCUGGGUGAUGAAUAGAGUUUCUAUAUAUAUAUAUAUAUAUAUAUAUAUAUGACAAAUUAUAUCUGNNNNNNNNNNNNNNNNNNNNNNNNNNNNNNNNNNNNNNNNNNNNNNNNNNNNNNNNNNNNNNNNNNNNNNNNNNNNNNNNNNNNNNNNNNNNNNNNNNNNAACAAAAUAGAUAAUAGUUUGGAUAGUCAAAAUUAUUAAUUAUGAAAAUAAGAAGUAGUUUUGCAUUAUUUAUUCAAUUUGAAACACUUUUCAUUAUCAUAGUUUUGUCAAAUUCUCAAAUAUGCAAAAAGAAUUUUUAAUAAACAUAGUUUUUAAUUGAAAAUAACAAAAUAGAUAAUAGUUUGGAUAGUCAAAAUUAUUAAUUAUGAAAAUAAAAAAUAGUUUGAACUAUUUAUUCAAUUUGAAACACUUUUCAUUAUCAUAGUUUUGUCAAAUUCUCAAAUAUGCAAAAAGAAUUUUUAAUAAACAUAGUUUUUAAUUGAAAAUAACAAAAUAGAUAAUAGUUUGGAUAGUAAAAAUUAUUAAUUAUGAAAAUAAAAAAUAUUUUUGCAUUAUUUAUUCAAUUUGAAACACUUUUCAUUAUCAUAGUUUUGUCAAAUUCUCAAAUAUGCAAAAAGAAGUUUUAAUAAACAUAGUUUUUAAUUGAAAAUGAAAAAAUAAGUUAAUAGUUUGGAUAGUCAAAAUUAUUAAUUUGGAAAAUAUAAAAUAGUUUUGAAUUAUUUAUUCAAUUUCAAACACUUUUCACUAUCAUAGUUUUGUCAAAUUCUCAAAUAUGCAAAAAUAAUUUUUAAUAAACAUAGUUUUUAAUUGAAAAUAACAAAAUAAGUUAAUAGUUUGGAUAGUCAAAAUAAUUAAUUUUGAAAACAGAAAAAAAUUGAAACUAUAUGAGAAAUCAUGGACAAAAUUCGACCUGAAUUCACUUUGAAUUCAGAUUGAAUUUUAUCCACAAUUUCGAAUUUAGUUUCAAUUUUCAGUAAGUUUAGGCUUGUAAGCCUGCUUUAAGGAGGGGCUCGAUGGACAAGCUGCGACGGGGCUUAUAAACAAGUGUUAGUCCCCCUCGCUGGGCGAGGUGGGACUAAACUUAUCGUGCAGCCGAGGANNNNNNNNNNNNNNNNNNNNNNNNNNNNNNNNNNNNNNNNNNNNNNNNNNNNNNNNNNNNNNNNNNNNNNNNNNNNNNNNNNNNNNNNNNNNNNNNNNNNAGAAAAUUCAAUCUAAAUUCAAAUGAGAAUUUAGAUUGAAUUUUCUCUAUGAUUUCGAAUAUAGUUUCAAUUUUAUUCUAUUUUCAUAAUUAAUAAUUUUGACUAUCCAAACUAUUAUCUAUUUUGUUAUUUUCAAUUAAAAACUAUGUUUAUUAAAAAUUCUUUUUGCAUAUUUGAGAAUUUGACAAAACUAUGAUAAUGAAAAGUGUUUGAAAUUGAAUAAAUAAUGCAAAACUAUUUUUUAUUUUCAUAAUUAAUUAUUUUGACUAUCCAAACUAUUAUCUAUUUUGUUAUUUUCAAUUAAAAACUAUGUUUAUUAAAAAUUCUUUUUGCAUAUUUGAGAAUUUGACAAAACUAUGAUAAUGAAAAGUGUUUGAAAUUGAAUAAAUAAUGCAAAACUAUUUUCUAUUUUCAAAAGUAAUUAUUUUGACUUCGUGUACAAAACGGACAAUCUCUCUCGAAGUAGGAGCGUUUCGAACGAGAACUCAUCUCUUACAAAGGGAUUUCAUUUUUUUGAACUAGUUGACCCUGAAAUUGAAAAGCACUACAAAUGAACUCUGAAAAUGUUGAAAGUUGGCAUGCUAUCAUCAUUUCACCCACAUAGCAUGUGUUAAAAAGUUGAGAGGGCUACGACAAAAACUGGAUGCACUUCGUAUACAAAACGGACAAUCUCUCUCGAAGUAUCAGGGUUUCGAACGAGAACUCAUCUCUUACAAAAGGAUUUCAUUUUUUUGAACUUAUUUGAACUCCAUACUUUUUGUGUGUUCAAAAUGCACCAUUCUAAGGCACAUCACAAAAUUUCAACANNNNNNNNNNNNNNNNNNNNNNNNNNNNNNNNNNNNNNNNNNNNNNNNNNNNNNNNNNNNNNNNNNNNNNNNNNNNNNNNNNNNNNNNNNNNNNNNNNNNUAAUGAGUAGCAUAUGUGUGUGUGUGUGUGUGAUUAAUGUCUCAAGUCUUACGAAAUAACCUACUAUUAUGUUUUCCCAGACAUGUGAAGUUUUAUGUGGAAAGAUGUAAUAAUAUUUAGCAGUUAGAGGAUGUAGAUCUCCAACUGUUAAUUGAAACGUAUUUAUCUUCUUGAAAGACACACACAAAAAGCAUGAUGUAAAAAACUGCAGAGUACUCUGUUUUCUUCAGCUGCUGAUGAUGCUCGAAAUUUUUGGAGUGGGUAUGAACAGACCCAGCCUGUCCUGUAUGAAGUAUGAACCCUUGUGAUUGAUAAAGCUUGGGCUUAGUGUAUGGAGAUGAUGAUGAUUGCAGAGGAAUUCAUGUCGACGAUGGUGUUCACACUUUUAUCUAUUUUUCCUAAGGCUAAAUUCUUGUAACCAUGAAUGUGAGUGUGUACCUGCAGUCUAGUGUUGCAUAUUUUUUUUUGAUAAAGGGCUUUUAUUGUUGAGUUGUUACGUUCCUUGUGCAUUACGCUGCCUUGUACUUAUCCACUGUAACCACCAUACCUGGUCCUGGGGAUGACCGCGGCACCACCUCCUCCAUAUCCCUGCAUGUAGGGAUCGGUGGUGACCCUUGGCGUAUAUAUGUGUAAUCACUUGAUGAGUAAAGUGUGUGCAUUGUUUCACAAUUCUUCUUGGUAAUCAGAGCUACCGAUCUAUGUCUUCUCACCCCAACUCUCCACCUCCUGGCACUGCUGCCGCCGUAGCAGCCUCUGCCUCCCCGGAACGCCCCCACGCGACUCUCUCUCCCGAUCUCACCUCUGCCCCACCCGUCCCCGGUGCCUUCUCCCUCUCUACUGCCCCGGCUGAGACCCUCCCUGCUCCACCACCCUCUCGCCUCCCUUCCAGCAUCUCCGACGUCGUUGAUUUCAAGCUGGCCCUUGAUGGCACGAACUUCAUCCGGUGGCGCAACUUCCUCAACCUCAUCCUCGCCUGCUACCACGCCGAAAACCAUGUCUAGGACGGUGCGGUCGACCGCCUCUCCAACCCACAGUGGCGCGACGACGACAACACAAUCGUGCUGUGGUUCUUUGCCACAGUGGACGGGGCUCUCCUCGACAUCGUCGCCCCGGCCGACUCCACCGCCUACACCAUCUGGAAGCGCCUCUACGAGUUCUUCCUCGCGAACGAGGCGGAACUCGCGAUGCAUCUUGGAUAGGAGUUCCGGGCGUGCGUUCGCGGCGACCUCUCCGUCAACGACUACUGUCGUCGUCUGCAGAACAUCGCCGCCGCCCUCGCCGACGUCCGCGAACCCGUCUCUGAUCGUACCUUGACGCUGCAGAUGCUCGAUGGCAUCGGGAAAAAGUUCGAGCUUCAGGCCGCCAUCAUCCAGUCCACUGUGCCUCUUCCCUCCUUCGCCCAGGCCCGCUCGCGCCUCGCCCUUUUGGAGCUCACCCUAGACAAGCGGGCGCGCGCUGAGGGCGCGCACGUGAUGGCUGUCCAUGAUGAGCGCGGCGGCGGAUGCGGCGACCGCGGGGAUCGUGGCGAUCGUGGUCGUGGCGGUGGCAACCCUCCUGGCGGUGGGCGCGGCGGCGACAACCAAGGCGGCGCUCCCUACGCCGGUCGCGGUGGCGGCAACCGUGCUGGUGGUGGACGCGGGCGCGGCCGUGGCCGCGGCCGCGGUGAUGCCCCUCCAGUGGCGGUCGCGGCUCCCACCAGCAGCCCUGGCUGGGGUACUUUGCCCCUGUCGGGAUGCCGUUCCCACCGCCCCGCGCGCCGUGGAUCCCGCCCAACUUGGCCGGCAUCCUUGGUCCUCGUCCCGGCGCUCCGACGCAUGCCUACCCGGUGGUCCAGUCGACCGCGCCGCCUGUCCCCUACUCCGGCUCACCUCCCACUUGGGACGCGACGACCAUGUACCACGCUGCACCGAGAUAUGGGCCUACUUUUUCCCCUCAUGCCGAGUGGAUCAUGGACACAGGGGCUUCUUCCCACAUGACCGGGGACCCAGGUAUUCUGAUCAAGUCUCAUCCUUUAUUAGCGUCUCAUUCUCGCCACAUUAUUGUCGGUAAUGGGGCUCGCCUCCCGGUCGUCGCCAUUGGUAACGCCCGUCUUUCUUCUCGACCCUUCUACCUCACUCACAUUCUCCUCUCCCCCAACAUUGUCCAAAACCUCAUUUUCGUGCGUCAAUUCACUCGUGACAAUUUAUGUUCUGUGGAGUUUGACCCUUUUGGUUUUUCCAUGAAGGAUCUUCGCACCAAGGUGGUCCUUGUGAGGUGCAAUAGCUCCGGUGACCUCUACCGCGUCUCCCACGUCUCAGGCACUCCUGGUAGCGCUACACCGGUGGCCCUCGCUGCUACCUCAUCGGAUCUUUGGCAUAAGAGGCUCGGGCACCCGAGCUCCUCCACCCUAGUUUAUUUUCCCUUUGAUGUUCCUUCAAGAUUUAAUAAAACCCCCUUGUCACCCCUUUGUACUGCCUGCCAUUUAGGCAAGCACACACACCUUCCCUUCCCCACCUCUACUUCCUACACCACCGCGCCAUUUCAGCUCUUACAUUGUGACUUGUGGACCUCUCCCAUUGUUAGUUUUUCCGGCUAUAAAUACUAUCUUGUUAUUUUGGAUGAUUACACGCAAUACUCUUGGACUUUCCCCCCUUCAUGCCAAAUCCGAUACUUGUGCCACUUUGCAGCGCUUCUUCGCUUACGUUCUCACUCAGUAUCACGUCACUAUCCGCUGUUUGCAGUGCGACAAUGGCGGUGAGUUCCUCACCACGGUGCUCCGCGACUUCUUCUCCUCCCAUGGCAUCACGUUUCGUCUUACCUGCCCCCAUACAUCCCCACAAAAUGGCAAAGAGGAACGCCAUAUACGCACUACUAACGAUGUUAUCCGGACUCUCCUCUUCCAAGCACACCUCCCUCCGCCAUUUUGGGUCGAAGCCCUCCAUACCGCCACCACCCUCCUUAACAUCCGCCCAUCCCGUGCCAUCCACCACUUCACCCCCACUUCCUUCUCUAUGGCGAACAUCCCACCUACGAUCACUUGCGCACCUUCGGAUGUCUUUGCUUUCCAAACCUCUCAGCCACUGCGCCACACAAACUUUCUCCACGAUCCACACGCUGCGUCUUCCUUGGCUACCCACGCGAACAGAAGGGCUGUCGCUGCUUCGACCUCUCAUCUUGCAAAGUUAUUACCUCUCGCCAUGUCGUCUUUGACGAACACAACUUUCCUUAUAUCUCCUCUUCGCCUGCCACAGAAGAUCUGGCCACUAUCCACCCUGUUCCCCCCGCUCCAACCGGAUCUCUGGCGCCUGCCCAACCAGCUUCGCUCCCGCCUACCGCGCCUCGCCCGCCGCGCCCUCUGGGCCCCGCUGCCCAUGCACCACAUGCAACCUCCCCACCUGCAUGUCCGCGUCCCCUGCCUCCCCAUGCACCACAUGCCCUGCCUCCCCCCAUGCGCGCACUAGGCCCUGCCUCGCCUGCCGCUUCCCCACCUACUCCACCUCGUGACCCGCGCGUGUCGGUUACGCCCGCGCACACACCGCGUCCUCACCCCACGUCCUGUAGCUCCUCGAGCCCCACCACCCAUGCACGCCAUGCAGCUUCCCGCGCUGCCCGCCCGCCCGACUUGGCCUCCUCCACCACCCCACUACGCCCUACGUCUCCCUCGGCGCCUCCCAUCACACCAGCUUCCCCGCCCAGCUUUCCUGCUGCUGUACCGCCUUCCUCGCUACCACCUGCUGUUGUGCCCAUCUCUCCGCGCCACCACCCUCAUCCCAUGAUCACUCGGGGCAAACGCGGGUUUACCAUGCCUAAGCAACAUUUCGACCUGUCCGUUACCACCGCCCCUUCGCCCCUUCCCUCCUCCUACCACCCCGCCCUCCGUGAUCCCCAUUGGCACGACGCGAUGUUGGAUGAGUAUAAUGUGCUAAUACAGAAUGACACUUGGUCUUUGGUGCCUUGUCCUGCAGGUGUUAACGUGGUGACGGCAAAUGGAUCUUCUGUCAAAAACUCCGUCCCGAUGUGUCGGGGGAUAACUCCGGGGUAGGCUCAUCGAGCCUAUUCCUUCAUUCCUGGCCCAAUGGGCAUGAAGGCGCAGAGAUUCUCAAGGCCCAAGUCUUCUAACCGGCUAGGCAUCCCCUGCCGGCUGGAAGACGAGGCGACCACCUUUCUGGCCGGCCAGGCAACCCCUGCCGGCUAGAAUCCAGGCGGCCUCCCCUUCGGACCCGGCCUGGUCCCGCCAGCCGGGCUAAGGAGGAGGCGGCCACCCUCAAGCUGUCUGACCAAGCAGGCUAGCCGACCGAGGAUCACCAGUCACAUCAGAUCGUAGGUCAGGAAAGGACCUCACGAUUAAAGGUAGCUACGCGUCAGCAAAGGUACUGAAUCAGGGCGCCCGGCUGGUACGAGCGUCGGUGGCCACGCCGCUGACCUACCCCGGCUCUGAUCCAUCACCUAGCCUGAUGUCGGACCGUCACACUCCCACUCCAUUACUGCACUCGGCGUGGGGAACAGUGGAGGCGGUCGUACUGCCUGCCCAUGAAGAAUCUCGCGGGGCGACGCUCGACGUACAGCGUGUGCUCAGCGUCAACCUUACGCGGGAGCCCCAUUGGCCAGCUGGCGGGUCCCACAGCAAUCGAGACCAUGCAGCCGGCGGGCCCCUCAUCGACAAGACAAGACCCUUGUGGGCCCCUGGCCAGCCGGCGAAGCAGCCAGCCGAGUCCCACGCAUGUACCCUUUAUCCAUAUUGUAGGCCGGCGGGUUCGUCUAUAAAACCCCCCGGCCGCCCCCGAUGCAAGGAGGCCGAUCACUUACCAGUCAUUCAACACUACACACUCACCAACCAACAGAGAGCGAGGUAGAGACGAGUCGGCUGCUCCCCUCUUCCUCCUCCCAACACAGCUCCAGGAGCAACAUUGUACUAUGUUCCCAUACAUCAAACACACAAGCAGGAUUAGGGGUAUUAUCUCUACGGAGAGCCCUGAACCUGGGUACAUCGUGCGUCCCAUGCGUGUACCAACCUCGUUCCCAGCGCCCACCUUUGUCCCUUCGGUUCUCAUCGACUUUAGCCUACCUAUGUCAUAUGUUGUGAGUAUUCACCAACAUUUGGCGCCCACCGUGGGAACGAUCGCGGCAUCGGCUGGCUUCACGCGCUGGGCGGGGGCCCGCACCUACACCACCGGAUGCAUCGCGUCCGGAUCAGUUUGCAUGCCCGUGGAGCUCGCUUUCGACGAGGCGACGCUCAUGAUGAUCGACGUCCCCGUCCGCCAUGCGGAUUCGGACGAAGAUUCAGAUGACGAGGCGCUCCCUAGCGUCGCCGUCGCUGCUAUGGAGAACCUCAGCGUUCUCUUCAGCGAUCUUCGCCUCAACGACGGCCCAUGCUACUUCGGCGAGGACUACGACGUUGAGGCGCUCUGCGCCAGCUUCAGCAUGCUCUCUAUCGCUGAGACGCCUGCCCACUACGUUUACCCCAGUAACGUCCUCAUCUUCGAUGGCCCUUCACCGUCGGUGGGGUUCUUCACCCCAUACCACGUCGCUGCCGUCUCCAACGCCGCGGAGGUGAUGGUUAUCGGCGCCGGCACCGGCACGUCUCCCCGCAAGGCCUCCGCGGGCGCUAGCGAGCCCGCUGUGGCCGCCGCAGACACUCUUCGGGAUGCCAUCGUCGGCCUGAAGACACCGGUCACUGCUUCCGCCGACCCUGCAGACGCUCGGGCCUCACUGGAGGAGGCUCGCAAGCGUAUCUUGGAGGAGGGCAUCGCCGUGGCCUCGGCAAAACGUCGGCUGGAGGCUACACAUCGUGAGUAUAACUCCGCAUAUGGUCUUACUCCGAUUUCCGAGGCCCCCAGCCGGCUUGGAUCGGUCCGCAGUCGCGGACGAUUCGUCGCCGAGGUUCUAGGCGGGGACCUGCCCACCUACGAGACUCCUGCGGCCAACAUGCGGGCGGGACAGGCGGCCAUGGAGGAGAUGGCAAGCUUCGAAGGCGAGGAGUGCCCCUUCCAGGAGAUGCGUGUCAAGGAUCUCCUUGACGCUGCUACCCAGCAGUACGCUCGGUUCGACCCUGGCCAGGCUCAUUCAGAGUCCCCGGGACCAAACUCGGGAGCUCGCCGCAACCCUAGCGGCCAGCACCACGCCGAAGGAUCUUCCUCGCAUCGCCCUUCCGGCUGGAGGGGCGAGGGAAGCCAAGGCCGGCGCUCGCAGCACCAGAGCGAGCACACUUCAGGCCUACGUCGCGGAGGCAACGAGGGCGACUCGGAGUACGGGGAUCUUCCCCCGCGAAGAACUCACGCAUCCGGCUCCCGAGGAGCCUCCCCUCUCGCCACCAGGGCUGGCGCCCCCGCCUCCUAGAACGAGCGGGACGCCCGCCGCCGUAUCAUCGCCCUGGCCCAUUCGGCCCUCCUAGAGGAAGACGGACCCGUCGGUCCGGCUUGCUUCGGCCCCCGGAUCCGAGGGGAGCCGUUCCCCCGAGGUUUCACCCUACCUCGGGAUACGCUGAAAUACAACGGCACGGCCAAGCCAGAAGAUUGGCUGAUCGACUACACCACGGCCAUAGGCAUCGCCAGGGGCAACAAGCGUGUAGCGGUUCGCUACGUGCCACUCGUGCUGGCCGGCUCGGCUCGGACCUGGCUUAACAGCCUCCUGGCCGGCAGCAUCAACUCCUGGGUGGACUUCGAGGAGGCGUUCGUCCGCAACUUCACCGACACCUACAAGCGCCCUGGUCGGCCUCGCGAGCUGGCCAUGUGCGUCUAGAAGGCCGACGAACCCCUCGGCGACUACGUCACCUGGUCGACCGAGCUCCGCAACUCCUGUGAGGGGGUGCAUGAGGUACAAGCCAUACAGUAAUUCAUUGACGGAUGCCGAGACGGCACCCUCCUCAAGCACAAGCUCAUGUGCGCCGAGCCCACCUCCUUGGCGGUGCUCAUGGCCAAGGCGGACAAGUACGCCACGGCGGACUCCGCAAUGUGCAUCAAGGUGACCGCCUCGGAAAAGGUUGUGCCUGCGCCGGCUACUCCCAAGCCGGCUGGGGACAACCGAGGCGGACAGAACAACUACAAGCGCAAGGCGGAUCAGAUGGCUAACAACAAGCUAGUGGCCAACAUGGAGGGAGAGGCAUCGGCUUCCCAAGCCAGCCCUCCACGAAAGUGUCGCAAUCAGGGCGACCCCAACUGGCUGCCCAAGCAGUCUCUCGAGCAGCUGCUCGACGCCCCCUGCAAGAUACAUUCGGGGGCGGCGCCGUCUACCCAUACCCUUGGAUAGUGCAGCGUUGCACGCUGGCUGUCGCAAGGGGAGGGCCUGCCGGCUCCUCCGGGUGCGCAGGCGGCGCCCCGUGCACCGGCUCCCCAUCACGCUCCUCUUCCGCCGCCGCCGCCUCGCGACGACGGCCCACACCAUGACGACUACCCGCAUCAAGAUAGAGCGUUCGUCAUCUUCACCAGUGAAGGCGACGACAAGCACAACCUGCGCCAAAGGUGGCACGAGGUAAACGCCACUGUCCCCCCGGUUCCCCAGUACAUGCAUUCGUCUAACAAACCAAUUACAUGGAGCCGGGUGGACCACCCUGCCGUGAUGCCCAACCCGGGGUCAUACGCACUCGUCGUCGACCCCACCUUCGCCUCGAAGAGGCUCACCUGCUGAUUCUCCCGGGUGCUGGUCGACGGUGGCAGCAGCAUCAACAUCCUCUACCUCGACACUCUCCGCAAGCUUGGGCUCAAGGAGACGGACGUCCUUCCAACCAGCACUGUCUUCCAUGGCAUCGUGCAUGGGCGGUCGUGCUCGCCCAUCGGCAAGAUCCAGCUGGACGUCCUCUUCAGCGACAAGGCCCACUUCCGUCGCGAGUUCAUAUGGUUCGAGGUGGUGGACCUCAGCAGCCCGUAUCACGCGCUGCUGGGGAGACCGGCUCUGGCCAAAUUCAUGGCUAUCCCGCACUACGCCUACCUGAAAAUGAAGAUGUCGGGUCCCAAGGGCAUCAUCGCUGUUGUUGGCGACUACAAGAAGUCGCUCGAGUGUGCCCAAGAUAGCAGCCGCCUCGCCGACGCCUUGGUGAUUGCCGAGGAGAAGCGGUAGAUUGACCGGCUCGUGGCCCAGGCUACCGAGCAGCCGGCGAUUCCUUCUCCUCUGUCCCAAUCGGCCGGCGAGGGCUCUUUCAAGCCGGCUAAAGAGACCAAGCAGGUCCCACUCUACCCUGCCAACCCAAAGCAGUGCAUCACCAUCGGGGCUGGCCUCAGCCCCAAAUAGAAAGGCGAGCUCGUCGACUUCCUCCGUGAGAAUCGGGACAUCUUUGCAUGGUCCCUCAAGGACAUGCUGGGUGUUCCGAGGAAGUACGCCGAGCAAAAACUUCACGUGCGACCGGAUGCAAAUCCGGUGAAACAACCUUUGCGCCGCUUCGCCGAGGGGAAGCGGCGCACAAUCGGAGAAGAGAUCACCCGGCUCCUUGCAGCUGGCUUCAUCAUGGAGGUUUUACACCCGGACUGGCUGGCGAACCCAGUCGUGGUGCUGAAGAAGAACAACACAUGGCGAAUGUGCAUCGACUACACUAGCCUGAAUAAGGCCUGUCCGAAAGACCCUUUCGCGUUGCCUAGGAUAGAUCAAGUAAUCGACUCCACUGCAGGCUGUGAACUACUGUCAUUUCUUGAUGCUUAUUCAGGCUACCAUCAAAUCAAGGUGGAUCCAGCUAAUUGCCAGAUGACCUCCUUCAUCACGCCCUUCGGGGCCUACUGCUACACCAACAUGAUGUUCGGUCUGAAGAACGCAGGUGCGACGUUCCAACGCUGCAUGCAACAGUGCCUACUUCCACAGAUUGGCAGAAACAUCCACGUCUAUGUAAAUGACAUCGUCGUCAAGACGAAGCAGCACUUCAGCCUCCUCGACGACCUGCGAGAGACAUUUGCCAAUCUGCGCGAAUACAAGAUCCGGCUCAAUCCUGAGAAGUGCGUCUUCGGGUCCCAGGCGGCAAACUCUUGGGGUUCUUCGUAUCCGCCCGCGACAUCGAAGCGAACCCUGAGAAGAUCAGCACCAUCGAGCGGAUGGUGCGGUCGGCUCGGAUGCUCGAUGUCCAGAAGUUUGCCGGCUUCUUGGCAUCCCUCAGCCGGUUCGUCAGCCGGCUUGGCGAGAAGGCCCUUCCACUCUACCAGCUCAUGACGAAGACGGCGAAGUUCGAGUGGAACGACCAGGCGGACGAAGCCUUCCGCGACCUCAAGCGGGUAAUCUCGAGCCUGCCAAUCUUGGCAGCCCCAUGUGAAAGGGAAACCAUACUCAUAUAUAUCGCGGCGACCACUCGCGUGGUCAGCGUAGUGUUGGUAGUUCAGCAUAAAGAGGAAGGCAAGGCCCUGCCAGUACAGCGCCAUGUCUACUACCUUAGCGAGGUCUUGUCCGCCUCUAAGCAGAACUACCCUCAUUAUCAGAAAAUGUGUUAUGGUGUUUACCUUGCUGCAAAGAAAUUAAAAUAAUACUUCCAAGAGCAUGCCAUCACUGUGGUGAGCACGGCUCCACUAUCAGAGAUCAUGGGCAACCGUGAUGCCACGGGCAGAAUUGCCAAAUGGUCCAUCGCCAUGGCGGACCAGGACAUUCAGUACGAGCCUCGCACCGUCUCCAGACUCCACGCAUUGGCGGAUGCACUUCGACGGCUCGAAGAUGCGGACGGGACUGGGAGCCGGCAUCAUCUUGACGUCUCCGAAAGGGGACCAGCUUAAGUACGCUCUCCAGAUCCACUUCGCCGCCUCCAACAACGUCGCCGAGUACGAAGCACUGGCCCACGGCCACCGGCUUGCCAAGGAGAUUGGCAUCCGGCGGCUCAUAUGCUUCGGCGAUUCGGACUUGGUGGUGCAGCAGGUCUCUGGCGAGUGGGACGCCAGGGACGCCAACAUGGCAAGCUACCGCUUCCUCAUCCAGCAGCUCAACGGCCCCUUCGAGGGUUGUGAGUUCCACCAUGUUCCCAGGGCAGACAAUGAGGUGGCAGAUACGCUAGCAAAGAUCGGCUCCACAAGGGAGGCCAUCCCGGCCGUCGUCUCCCUCGAGCAACUCCACAAGCCGUCUAUCAAGCCGUCUCUGGAGUCGGCAUCAAUCUUCGUACCAGCCGACUCCAUGAUACAAGCGCCGCCGGCUCCGCCAGUUAUGUCGGCUGCGGACCCCAUGCCGGUUGCACUGACGGCUCCGACUCCAAAUGCGGCACCGACUAAGUCUAUGGUGCAAGCGCCGUCGGCUCCACCAACUACGUAGGCUUCAGAUCCUAAUCCGGCUCCAUUGGUCCACCCGACUCCAACAACGACAACCCCGGCUCUGCCCGGGUUCGAAUCCUCCCAGUGGGUGGACGUCAUGGAGAUAGACGAGGAGCCGGCUGCAGCAAUAGCACCAAAGACGCCAUCAAGCUCGGGGGCUGCAGAAGCCCCCAACAGUCAAGACGAAGCGGAGGCGACCCUUGUGUCGGCUCCAUUAUGGGCUCAGGCCAUUCUGGCCUUCCUUCUUCGCGGCGAACUUCCUCAAAAUGAGGCGGAGGCGAGACAGACCCAGCGCAGGUCCACCGCGUACGCCAUCAACAAUCGCGAGCUGGUGCGACGCAACACGACCGACGUGUUCCAACGUUGCGUCGAAUCAGAAAAAGGGCAGGAGAUCCUUAGAGACAUCCACCAGGGGGAGUGUGGGCAUCAUGCCGCCUCCAGAACCCUGGUGGCCAAAGCAUUCCGCCAUGGAUUCUACUGGCCCACGACCCUCGAGGAGGCUGUGGAUCUGGUGGACAAAUGUGAAGGCUGCCAACGCUUCAGUGCACAGAGCCAUAUGCCGCCUUCAACACUGAAAACCAUCCCCUUAUCUUGGCCAUUCGCCGUCUGGGGACUGGACAUGGUUGGGCCCUUCAAGAGGGCUCGCGGAGGGAUGACACAUCUUUUGGUAGCCGUCGACAAGUUCACCAAGUGGAUCGAAGCCAGGCCUAUCAAGAAGCUUGACGGCCCCACUCCUGUCAGGUUUAUCUCGGACAUCUCUGUCCGAUAUGGCGUUCCCCACAACAUCAUCACCGACAACGGCACCAACUUCGCCAAGGGCGCCCUGGCGUUCUACUAUUCCAAGGUAGGCAUCCGGCUCGACCUGGCCUCGAUGGCACACCCCCAGUCAAACGGCCAAGGGGAGAGGCCCAACGGCCUGAUCCUAGCCGGCAUCAAGCCAAGGCUGGUGGCACCACUGGUCAGGUCAGCCGGUUGCUGGAUCGAAGAACUGCCGGCUGUGCUAUGGAACCUCCGCACCACGCCCAACCGGUCGACCGGCUUCACUCCAUUCUUCCUGGUAUACGGGUCUAAGGCUAUCAUCCCCACGGAUAUCGAAUUCGACUCGCCUUGGGUCACCCUAUACACAGAAACGGAGGCGAAGGAGGCCAGAGAGGACGGUGUGGAUCUCCUCGAGGAAGCAAGGGACUUGGCUUUGAGCCGGACGGACAUGUACCAACAGAAGCUGAGAUACUACCAAAACAAAAGGAUCAGGCCUCUCUCUUUCAGAGAGGGAGACUUGGUCCUCAGAAGAAUCCAGCGCACUGUCGGCCGGCACAAGCUCUCACCCCCUUGGGAGGGACCCUUCAUCAUCAGUAGGGCGUUACACAACAACGCUUACUACCUGAUUGAUGCCUAGAAGCCAAGGAAGCGCAAGAGGGACGACUCUGGCCAAGAAACGGAGCGCCCAUGGUACGCGGCGUUGCUUCGCCCGUUCUAUUGCUAAAAGGCAGAAGACAAGAAAAGGAAAGAGCAUGCACAUGUAUCUUCCUCCCUCUUCAGGGAACAAAGAAGGCAAUAAAAAGGACAUGCUCCAUGUUUCUUUUUGUCAAGAGUUCUCACUCACGUGUACGGGCUACACAACGUACCACCUCUUGCUGGCUUGCUCAAGCUCGGAGGCUACGCGGCGCGGCCCCUUGCUAGCUUUAAACAAGCUCGGGGGCUCGCCAGCUGCCUGAACGGUCAAACCCUUAUAACGGACACAUAGUGUAUCGGCUAACCCCUGGUCCGUCGCUUGAACCUGCGGGCUGACUCUGGUCGCUCGGUUCGCGAUAUGACGCCAGGUAAGGUCAAAUACAUGCAAAGUCCGGCUAUACUUGGGACGUCCGGCUCGGGCCGGCUCGAUCGUAUAUACGAUCUCCUUCAAGACUCAAGACGGCCUCUGAUUGCCGAGACUCAAGACGGCCUCUGACUCCCGAGAACCACAAAUAUGGUGAAAAAAGCAGGCUCCAUGCUUUCUCUUGCUAAAAGAGUUUUCACUCAGUGUACGGGCUACACCGCGUACCACCUCUUGCUGGCUUGCUCAAGCUCGGAGGCUACGCAACGCGGCCCCUUGCUAGCUUUAAACAAGCUCGGGGGCUCGCCAGCCGCUCGGACAGUCAAUCCUUGUAGUCGGGCACAUAGUGUACCGGCUGAUUCCCGGUCCAUCGCUUGAACCUGCGGGCAGGCUCCGGUCGCUCGGUUCGCGAUGUGACGCCGGGUCAGGUCGAAUACAUGCACAGUCCGGCUAUACUAGUGACGACCGGCUCGAGUUGGUUCAUUCAAGUCGGCCUCUGAUUGGCUUAUGUCUUGUUCUUUAUGUCUUGAUGGCUUCGGAUAAGAGAAGUCAACCAGGAAUCAAAAGACGGGAUCAUAAGACAACACGCUUGGUGACGAAUAUAAUGCUGAAUAUAUACAUUCAUAAAAAGCAUUGGCCCACGGCCCACGUUCGUUACAUCCCUCCGGGGGUAGAACCAAAAACACAAAAGGACACGAGUAACGGGAAAGCGGCCUCAGUGGUCGUCUCGGCUGCUGCUCCUGAUGUGGUAACAUCGCCGCCUCAGGCUUCUCCCGAGGUGGAUGCGUCGUCUCCCUCAUUGCGGCCCCCGGCUCCGCUGAUCCCGGAGUCGGCAUACGCCCCACCGCUGGAGGCGGCUGCAGAUUCCGCAGCCCGGGCCACCUUGUCGGAGCAGCCAUCGGCGUCGUAGGGCUGAAGGCCGUGCAGAUCCUCAGCGAUCACACCGCCGUCUUCACCCAGCUCCAAGACGAAGUCGUCCCAGGCUGCGUACUCAGCCACGACGUUGGCCCUCACCGGGAGCUCCUCCUCCAGGCCUUGCAACUCCGCCUCUGAGCCAUCGCGCUGGGCAGCCAGCUUGCCCAAGUUCAGGUUGCGAUACCAUGACUUGGCCAAGCGCAGGUCCAUAUAAGCCCCAGACCACGCUGCGGAGGCUCGCCAGGCGUCCAGGCGCUCUUCACCCGCCGCGAGCCAACGGGCAAGACGGCUUAUGGUCAUCGGCUCCACGCCCACCUGCCACAGGGCCGUCACCAUCGACGAACCCGCAACUUGGAGCUGAGUCACAGACUCGCCCAGGACGUGUAAGCGGGCCCGAAGCCCCACACCAAUCUCCUCGAUGCUCCAGCCGGAGGUAGUAUCUACCACCUGCCCGGCCGCGCGGCGCUCCUCGCGGCACACCUCAACGGCGGUGUCGGCUGCGACCUGGGUCUCGGAGAAGAGAUCUGGGGUAAAGACAACCAGGACGUAAGAACACAGCAAGAGGAGGAGACAGCCAAAAAAACCAAACGCAAAACAAGGAAAGGAAACCUACGCUGGUAGGCACCGUCGGUCUCAUGAAAGACCUCGAGGACCUCACGCUCCCGCACCUCACUCGCAUGAGUGAGGCGGGCGAUUUCCUCCUGGAGGGUCGCGGCGGACUCCAGCGCCUUACCCAGAUGCACUUGCUUCUGGGUAAGGGCUUCAUCCUUCGCCCUCAACGCGGCGUCCUUGAGGUUCGCCUCCUCAAGAUGGAGCGACGCGAGGCGGUCCAUGUCAGGAGAGUAAGAGGCCUCCUUCUCCUGCAGCAUGGCCCGCAGCCGCUCCAGCUCGACCCGACUGGCCGCCUCGAGCUCCUUCUUCUCCGGCUGAAGAAGGUCCAGCUGCUCUUGGAGCUGGCCGCCGGCUUCGCGAAGGGCAUCACGCUCCGCGGCGGCCUCGCCUAGCCGGACUUCAAGCUCGGCGAUCCGGCGAUCAGCCCCCAGGUGCUGGUCCCGAAGCUCGUUGUACGCCUGUACCUGAGCAUCGUAUAGCGCCUGUCAAAGGGGAGAGAAAGGGAACAUGAUUACGAUUCGAGUGGGUUAAAAGGAUAACCAGCCCGAUUCUCGGGGGCUACACCCAGUGGGUGCGCUUGCGCGCCCCCACUGAAGAAAAAUAUGCAGAAGAAAAGGCCUCCAAGAGAUUCAAACCGGUUGGCAAUCGACCCGCCCGAUUCUCGGGGGCUACACCCAGUGGGUGCGCUGUCGCGCCCCCACUGACGUCAAGAGAAGAGAAAAAAGUGCAAAGAAAAACCAAAAAAGGCAAGGCCUACCUGGGUACAGGCUUCCAGGUGCUCCAUGUCGCCGCAUACCACGCGGGCCGCCUGCUCCACCUUCGACCGGCCGCUGCCAAACAGAGUCACCAGCUCCGGCAUGCCGGAAAGAACGGUGCCGGCGGGCAUUCGCAGGCGGGCCGCAUUCGCCGCCCACCAUGACUUCAUGGGCCGGCUCGCAGGCCGGCCCCCUGCCCUUGGCGCGACAGGGCCCUGCUGGGGGACGACGAUGGCGCCGGCUCCUGGUGCCGGCUCAACGGCCGGCUCGGGCGCCGCCCCAGCCGGCGCUACCUCCUCCACACGAGGCGGAUGAGCCACGUCCGACGCAUCCAUGGUUGCCCCUGGGGCGUCAGGGGCUGCGUUUGGCGCGGCCAGAUCCAGCACCGGCUCCAGGUCCACCUGCUCUGGGGAGAAACCGGGAUCGUCUCCAGGUCCACCUGCUCCGGCGCUGCUGGCUCAGGCGGCUGGGUCCCUUCAGUCCUCGGGGUCGGCCUCGAAGCGGCCUCGCUAGCUGCCUCCUCCACACGAGCGUGUGCGGAUGGGUCCUGUCUAGCCUUCGCACGCUUCUCCGCCUGCCUCUCGACCCGGCUGGGGCAAGUCUGAUCCACGGCAGCCUUCCCCACAGCUGUGUGCCACCGGCGCUUGGACUCUAUCUCCAGCUCCCUAUCGGCAGCAUCAGCUGUUGCCCAGCCGGCCCGCUCGGCCGCGGAGGCGGUGUCUUCAUCCGCAUCCUCCGCCUCCCUGUCAAGCCAAGCUUCUCAGGAACAAAGUUCAUCUCAAGAUAUGGAAGGGAGAAGAGGAGGAAACCAUACCCGACAACUACCGGGACCUGCCUCCGGCAACCGCCACGGCGCCUCUUGGUGCCGCCUGCUCGCUGCCCGGCUAGGGGACCCGGCGCCGGUCGCUUAGAGGCCGGCCGGGAAGUUGUGUCACCAUUGCCCUUCUUCCCGGCUGCCUCGUCAGCAGCGGUUGCUCCGCCACCUUGACACCGGUCGCGCGACGGUAGUGGGCCGGUGACCUCCUCCACCUCGUCGGAGUCUCCCUCGAACGCUGCAUCAGAGAAGAAUGAGGCUUCCUCAUCGUCGUCCGUCCAGUCUGCCACGGCGUGCCGCGGGUACUCACUAGACGGCUCGGUCCCUUCUGACUCCAGGGAAUCUCCCGAGCUGGCGGAGGAGUCUGAGCGGGGCUCCAUCGCAUCCUCGUCCUCCAUCUCGGAGGCGCCGUGCGCCUCCACAUCAGGAGCAGGCGGACGGAGGGACCCCUGCAUGGUUUGGAACAUCUACUAGAAAGGAAUUCAAGUAGGCUCAGCAAACGCCACCGGCUUCAGAACAAAACGACAGAAAAGAAGGGAGAAAGGCUACCACCAGAGGCGGAUGAGACCGGUUGAACAGGGCCAUCCCCAUGUCCAUUCCCCGCCCUCAUCCAUGCGGGUGGUGGAGAUCAGGUUCACCCUUCGCGCCACAGCACCCGGGGUGAACCUAUUGAUGGACAGCCGGCAUGGAUCAAGCCGGCCGCUCAUCUGGCAGACCAGAUGCGGCCGCCUUUGCAGAGGCAGAAUCCGGCGGACCACCAUGGUGGCAAGAAGGUCGCGGCCGAGGAGGCCGCUCUCCCUCAAGACAUCAAGGUAGGCGCGAAUAGGCGCCACCUCAGGAUGCGGCUUGGGAGUCUUCGCGUCCCAAUUUUUCCACGUCGGAGGGGCGAUGGUGAACGGGGGCAUGUUGAGAGCGUCCUGGGACGGGUCGGUGCUCCUCACGUAGAAGAACCCCUUCUGCCAAUGCUUGACGGAGUCUUGCAAAGGCAUCUGGGGAAAGCCGAACUUCGGGCGGUGAUGCACCAACGCAGCCCCGCACGGCGUCAUGGGGUGCGGCCCCUUGAGCUUCUCCACCUCAGAUUUUUCCAUGUCGAUGGAUUGCUGCUUAAAAAAGAACAGGUUGCGCCACAGAUCGACGCGAGACUCGAUUCCCACGAAGCCCUUGCACAGGACCACGAAGGCGGCCAGCUGCAGUAUGGCGUUCGGCGCCAAAUGAUGCGGUUGCAGGCCGAAGAACUGGAGCCACUCGGUGAAGAAUGAGCUAGCCAGGAGCCCGAAACCCCGGUAGAAGUGCUCGGCGAAGACCACAACCUCUCCCACGAGAGGCGCGGGAGAGACCUCGGAGCCAGGAAGGCGCACCGACACUUGGGAGACCGGGGGCAGCAGACGAUGAUGAUGGAGCGCAUCAAUGAGCUCCUCGUCGACAUCGCUGCCCAGCCAGGCCCCGUGCAAGGACGCCUGCUGCGCUGUCGACUUCCUCCAUGAAGAUCUACCGGCCAUGGCUGCGGGUGGCGAGAGCUCGGAGCGGUCGGCGGAGGUCUCGGCGGCGAAGAAGAAGGAGACAAAGGGCGCGAGCUCUUCCUCUUAGGACGCAAGGAGGAAGAAAGCAUGGAGCAGGGCAAGAAGAGGGGGCGAAUGGCCUCCUUGAAGCCCUCGCGUCCCAUUUAAACGCCACGAAGCGUCGUGGGGAGGGGAUCCAGUGCGCGCCGGCCCCAUUCAUUCCGUGUAUUACGGGCGGUAACGCCCCCAAAGCCCAACCAUCGCGGAGUAAAUCCGCAGAGGAUCUCCCGUGCGGAGGCCGAGGGGGCAUCGUGGCGGGACCCAGGGCCCAGGCCCGGUCCCGUCAGCAGUAAUUGCCAUCAUUACGCGCCUGGCACGUGGCGCUCUCCGCGCCAGUUACGACUAGACCGAAGCAUCACUUCGAAGCUACCCGGCUCCAAAGCCGGUGUCCUGUUGGGGAACGUCGCAUGGGAAACAAAAAAUUUCCUACGCGCACGAAGACCUAUCAUGGUGAUGUCCAUCUACGAGAGGGGAUGAGUGAUCUACGUACCCUUGUAGAUUGUACUGCAGAAGUGUUAGUGAACGCGGUUGAUGUAGUGGAACGUCGUCACGUCCCUCGAUCCGCCCCGCGAACUAUCCCGCGAACAGUCCCACGAUCUAGUGCCGAACGGACGGCACCUCCGCGUUCAGCACACGUACAGCUCGACGAUGAUCUCGGCCUUCUUGAUCCAGCAAGAGAGACGAAGAGGUAGAAGAGUUCUCCGGCAGCGUGACGGUGCUCCGGAGGUUGGUGAUGAUCUUGUCUCAGUAGGGCUCCGCCCGAGCUCCGCAGAAACUCGAUCUAGAUGUGAAACCGUGGAGAUAUGUGGUCGGGCUGCCGUGGCAAAGUUGUGUCAAAUCAGCCCUAAAACCCCACUAUAUAUAGGAGGAGGAGGGGGGAGACUUGCCUUGGGGUCCAAGGACUCCCAAGGGGGUCGGCCGAGCCAAGGGGGAAGGCCUACCCUUCCCAAACCGAAUUCUACUUGGUUUGGAAGGUGGAGUCCUUCUUCCCUUUCCCACCUCCUUCUUUUUUUUCCUUUCCUCUUUGAUUUUCUUCCCAAUGCGCAUAUGGCCUUCUUGGGCUGUCCCACCAGCCCACUAAGGGCUGGUGCGCCACCCCCAAGGCCUAUGGGCUUCCCCGGGGUGGGUUGACCCCCCCCCCGGUGAACUCCCGGAACCCAUUCGUCAUUCCCGGUACAUUCCCGGUAAUUCCGAAAACCUUCCGGUAAUCAAAUGAGGUCAUCCUAUAUAUCAGUCUUUGUUUCCGGACCAUUCCGGAAACCCUCGUGACGUCCGUGAUCUCAUCCGGGACUCCGAACAACAUUCGGUAACCAACCUUAUAACUCAAAUACGCAUAAAAUAACGUCAAACCUUAAGUGUGCAGACCCUACGGGUUCGAGAACUAUGUAGACAUGACCCGAGAGACUCCUCGGUCAAUAUCCAAUAGUGGGACCUGGAUGCCCAUAUUGGAUCCUACAUAUUCUAUGAAGUUCUUAUCGUUUGAACCUCAGUGUCAAGGAUUCAUAUAAUCCCGUAUGUCAUUCCCUUUGUCCUUCGGUAUGUUACUUGCCCGAGAUUCGAUCGUCAGUAUCCGUAUACCUAUUUCAAUCUCGUUUACCGGCAAGUCUCUUUACUCGUUCCGUAAUACAAGAUCCCGCAACUUACAUUAAGUCACAUUGCUUGCAAGGCUUGUGUGUGAUGUUGUAUUAUCGAGUGGGCCCCGAGAUACCUCUCUGUCACACGGAGUGACAAAUCCCAGUCUCGAUCCAUACUAACUCAACGAACACCUUCGGAGAUACCUGUAGAGCAUCUUUAUAGUCACCCAGUUACGUUGCGACGUUUGAUACACACGAAGCAUUCCUCCGGUGUCCGUGAGUUAUAUGAUCUCAUGGUCAUAGGAAGAAAUACUUGACACGCAGAAAACAGUAGCAACAAAAUGACACGAUCAACAUGCUACGUCUAUUAGUUUGGGUCUAGUCCAUCACAUGAUUCUCCUAAUGAUGUGAUCCCGUUAUCAAGUGAAAACACUUGCCUAUGGUUAGGAAACCUUGACCAUCUUUGAUCAACGAGCUAGUCAACUAGAGGCUUACUAGGGACAGUGUUUUGUCUAUAUAUCCACACAUGCACUGUGUUUCCAAUCAAUACAAUUAUAGCAUGGAUAAUAAACGAUUAUCAUGAACUAAGAAAUAUAAUAAUAACUAAUUUAUUAUUGCCUCUACGGCAUAUUUCCAACAGUCUCCCACUUGCACUAGAGUCAAUAAUCUAGUUCACAUCACCAUGUGAUUCCAACGAAUCCAACACCCAUAUAGUUAUGGGGUCUGAUCACGUCUUUGCUCGUGAGAGAGGUUUUAGUCAACGGUUCUGAAACUGUCAGAUCCGUGCGUUCUUUACAAAUCUUUAUGUCAUCUUAUAGAUGCUGCUACUACGUGCUAUUCGGAAAUGCUCCAAAUAUCUACUCUACUAUACGAAUCCGUUUCACUACACAUAGUUAUUCGGAUUAGUGUCAAAGCUUGCAUCGACGUAACCCUUUACGACGAACUCUUUAACCACCUCCAUAAUCGAGAAAAAUUCCUUAGUCCAUUAGUUACUAAGGAUAAAUUUUGACCGCUGCUAGUGAUUCAAUCAUGGAUCACUCUCUGUACCUCUCAACAGACUUUGAGUCAAGGCACACAUCAGGUGCGGUACACAGCAUGGCAUACUUUAGAUUCUACGGCUAAGGCAUAGAAGACGACCUUCGUCUAUUCUCUUUAUUCUGCCGUGGUUGGGUUUUGAGUCUUACUCAAAUUCACACCUUACAAUGCAACUAAGAACUCCUUAUUUGCUGAUCUAUUUUGAACUCCUUCAAACACUUGUCAAGGCAUGCAUCUUGUUGAAACUUCCAUUAAGCGCUUUCAAUCUAUCUCCAUAGAUCUUUGAUGUUCAACGUUCAAGUAGCUCAAUCCAGGUAUUCCUUUGAAAACUCCUUUCAAACAACCUUGUAUGCUUUACAGAAAUUCUACAUUACUUCUGAUCCACAAUAUGUCAACCACAUAUACUUAUUGUAAAUUCUAUAGUGCUCCCACUCACUUCUUUGGAAAUACAAGUUUCUCAUAAACCUUGUACAAACCCAAAAUCUUUGAUCAGCUCAUCAAAGUGUAUAUUCCAACUCCGAGAUGCUUGCACCAGUCCAUUGAAGGAUCACUGGAGCUUGCAUACUUGCUAGUAUCUUUAGGAUCGACAAAACCUCCUGGUUGUAUCACAUACAAUGUUUGCUCAAGGAAACCGUCGAGGAAACAAUGUUUUGACAUCCUACAUGCAAUAUUUCAUAAAUAAUGCAGCAACUACUAACAUAAUUCUAACAGACUUCUAGCAUCGCUACGAGUGAGAAAGUCUCAUCAUAGUCAAAUGUUUGAUCUUGUCGGAAACAUCUUUGCGACAAGUCGAGCUUUUCAUAAUAGUGACUUAUCACCAUCAUCGUCUGUCUUCCUUUUAAAGAUCCAUCUUUACUCAAUAGUCCUCUGACCAUCAAGUAGUUCUUCCAAAGUCUACACUUUGUUUUCAUACAUGGAUCCUCUCUCGGAUUUCAUGGCUUUCAGCCAUUUGUCGGAAUCCGGGCCCACCAUUUCUUUCUUCAUAACUCGUAAGUUCAUUGUUGCUCAACAACAUGACCUCCAAGACAGGGUUACCGUACCACUCUGCAGUAGUACGCGACCUUGUCAACCUACGAGGCUUGUAGUAACUUGAACCGAUGCUCGAUGAUCACCAUCAUCAGCUUCCACUUCAAUUGGUGUAGGCGCCACAGGAACAACUUCCUGCGCCCUACUACACACUGGUUGAAGUGAUGGUUCAAUAACCUCAUCAAGUUCUACUACCCUCUCACUCAAUUCUUUCAAGAGAAACCUUUCCUCGAGAAAGGAUCCGUUUCUAGAAACAAACACUUUGCUUUCGGAUCUGAGAUAGGAGAUGUACCCAACUGUUUUGGAUAUCCUAUGAAGAUGCAUUUAUCCGCUUUGGGUUCGAGCUUAUCAGACUGAAACAUUUUCACAUAAGUGUCGAAGCCCCAAACUUUCAAGAAACGACAGUUUAGAUUUCUGUAAACCUCAGUCUAUACUGUGUCAUCUCAACGGAAAUAUGCGGUGCCCUAUUUAAAGUGAAUGCAGUUGUCUCUAAUGCAUAACCCAUAAACGAUAGUGGUAAUUCGAUAAGAGACAUCACAGCAUGCACCAUACCAAAUAGUGUGUUUCUAUGACGUUCAGACACAUCAUCACACUAUGAUGUUCUAGGUGGCAUAAACUGUGAAACAAUUUCCACAUUGUCUUAACUGCGUACCAAAACUCGUAACUCAGAUAUUCAUUUCUAUGAUCAUAUCGUAGACAGUUUAUCCUCUUGUUACGACGAACUUCACUCCGAAACAGAAUUGAACUUUUCAAUAUUUCAGACUUGUGACUCAUUAAGUAAAUAUUCUAGUAUCUACUCAAAUCGUCAUUGAAGUAAGAACAUAAUGAUAUCCACUGCGUGCCUCAGCACCCAUUGGACUGCAUACAUCAAAAUGUAUCACUUCCAACAAGUUACUAUCUUAUUUCAUCUCAAUGAAAACAAUGCCUUGCUCAUGUGGUAUGAUUUGCAUGUCACUAGUGAUUUGAAAUCAGGUGAGUACAAAGAUCCAUCAGCAUGGAGCCUCUUCAUGCAAUUUAUACCAACAUGACUCAAGCGGCAGUGCCACAAGUAAGUGGUACUAUCAUCAUUAACUCGUAUCUUUUGGUACCAAUAUCAUGAACAUGUGUAACACUACGAUCGAGAUUCAAUAAACCAUUGAAGGUGAUUAUUCAAAAAAAUAGAGUAACCAUUAUUCUCUUUAAAUGAAUAAUCGUAUUGCAAUAAACACGAUCCAAUCAUGUUCAUGCUUAACGCAAGCACCAAAUAACAAUUAUUUAGGUUUAACACCAAUCCCGAUGGUAGAGGGAGCGUGCGACGUUUUGAUCAUAUCAACCUUGGAAACACUUCCAACACGUAUCGUCACCUCGCCUUUAGCUAGUCUCCAUUUAUGCCGUAGCUUUCAUUUCGUGUUACUAAUCACUUAGCAACCGAACCGGUAUCCAAUACCCUCAUGCUACUAGGAGUACUAGUAAAGUACACAUCAACAUCAUGUAUAUCAAAUAUACUUCUCUCGACUUUUGCCAGCCUUCUUAUCUACCAAGUAUCUAGAGUUGCUCCGCCUCAGUUACUGUUCCCCUCAUUACAGAAGCACUUAGUCUCGGGUUUGGGUUUAAUCUUGGGUCUCUUCAUUAGUGCAGCAAAGGUUUUGCCGUUUCACGAAGUAUCCCUUCUAGCCCUUGCCUUUCUUGAAACUUAGUGGUUUUACUAACCAUCAACUAUUGAUGCUCCUUCUUGAUUUCCACUUUCGCAGUGUCAAACAUCGCGAACGCUCAAGGAUCAUUGUAUCUAUCCUUGAUAUGUUAUAGUUCAUCACGAAGCUCUCACAGCUUGGUUGCAGUGACUUUGGAGAACCAUCACUAUCUCAUCUGGAAGAUUAACUCCGACUUGAUUCAAGCGAUUGUCGUACUCAGACAAUCUGAGCACACGCUCAACGAUUGAGCUUUUCUCCUUUAAUUUGUGGACAAAGAAUCUUGUCGGAGGUCUUGUACCUCUUAACAAGGGCACAAGCAUGAAAUCACAAUUUCAUCUCUUUAGAACAUCACUUAUGUUCCGCGACGUUUUAAAACGUUUUCGGCGCCUUGCUUCUAAGCCAUUAAAUAUUUUGCACUGAACUAUCGUGUAGUCAUCAGAAACGUGUAUUUCAGAUGUUCACAGCAUCCACAGACGACGCUUGAGGUGCAGCACACCGAGUGGUGCAUAAAAUACAUAAGCCUUCUGCGCAGCAACGAGGACAAUCCUCGGUUUUACAAACUUAGUCUGCAAAGUUUGCUACUAUCAACUUUCAACUAAAUUUUCUCUAGGAACAUAUAAAAACAGUAGAGCUAUAGCGCAAGCUACAUUGUAAUUCGCAAAGACCAUUAGACUAUGUUCAUGACAAUUAGUUCAAUUAAUCAUAUUACUUAAGAACUCCCACUCAAAAAGUACAUCUCUCUAGUCAUUUGAGUGGUACCUGAUCCAAAUCCACUAUCUCAAGUCCGAUCAUCACGUGAGUCGAGAAUAGUUUCAUUGGUAAGCAUCUCUAUGCUAAUCAUAUCAACUAUACGAUUCAUGCUCGACCUUUCGGUCUCAUG